AACUAAUAAAGCAAGAGUCCAAAGAGUUUCCCGAAAGAUUUAAAACUAAUUCAAAAUACUAUCCUUGGUUUAAGAAUUGCAUAGGUGCGAUUGACGGUACACAUAUCAGUGCAUCGGUUCCUGCAGAAAAACAAAUUUCAUGUAGAGAUAGAAAGGCAACAAUCACACAAAAUGUCAUGUGUGCUUGUGAUUUUAACAUGAUGUUUACGUAUGUAUAUUCGGGAUGGGAAGGAAGUGCACAUGAUUCAAAGAUUCUUUUGGAUGCAAUUACAAAUCAAAAUGCUGAAUUUCCUUGGCCACCUAGAGGUUCCUUUUAUCUCGUUGAUUCUGGGUAUCCAUGUAUUGGAGGUUUUCUUCCCCCUUGUAGGGGUGAAAGGUAUCAUGCA